rnacentral:rRNA from 1 species
GACGAACGCUGGCGGCGUGCUUAACACAUGCAAGUCGAACGGAAAGGCCCUGCUUUUGUGGGGUGCUCGAGUGGCGAACUGGUGAGUAACACGUGAGUAACCUGCCCUUGACUUUGGGAUAACUUCAGGAAACUGGGGCUAAUACCGGAUAGGAGCUCCUGCUGCAUGGUGGGGGUUGGAAAGUUUCGGCGGUUGGGGAUGGACUCGCGGCUUAUCAGCUUGUUGGUGGGGUAGUGGCUUACCAAGGCUUUGACGGGUAGCCGGCCUGAGAGGGUGACCGGCCACAUUGGGACUGAGAUACGGCCCAGACUCCUACGGGAGGCAGCAGUGGGGAAUAGUGCACAAUGGGCGGAAGCCUGAUGCAGCAACGCCGCGUGCGGGAUGACGGCCUUCGGGUUGUAAACCGCUUUCGCCUGUGACGAAGCGUGAGUGACGGUAAUGGGUAAAGAAGCACCGGCUAACUACGUG